rnacentral:tRNA from 2 species
GGACUCGUAGUAUAGUCUGGAUAGAACAGAGGCCUCCGGAGGUCUCCGGGGAUAGCCUCAAACCCGGGUUCGAAUCCCGGCGGGUCCG